AUCCAGCAGCGGUUGAUUUAUCGUGUCUAGUCUAGACAUGAUAAAUUGACCCCCGAACACUCUCCCGUCGACUGCUGUACUCCAGCUCGGUGAGAGGCGCAAGCAGAGUCGACGGGGGAGCGGCAGCAAUCGACUCACCGCGGCGAAGGCAUCACGAUUUGAAUACCAGCAUUUAUCCGCAGGCACUCCAGCAGUGUGCACUGGGCCAGAUGUAGCUUUAAAUGAACCGUGGAGGGACUAGUUGGAGCAGCCUGGCAGAGCUGUGACACGAAGAGAGGCGCACGUGAAACUCGAAGGAACAGGUAUUCCCCAUUUCAGUGCUGAGUGGUGUAGGCAGCGUCAAUAAAGGCGCACAAGGGUGUGUUCUUGCCACAAGGAUUGUCAGCAGGCUGGUGUCAUACGUGCUUGGGGUCUCCGGGGCUCAGUGAGGGGUAAGUGAAGGCAACAACUAAGACGGAAUCCUCAUUGGAAGGGUAAAGGGGUGGUGACAUUAUGAAAGUCUGAGAUGGAUUGUGAGCAGUAGACUCAGUGUCUGAGCGCAGGCCAGGGGUAGGUAGCUUCUGAUCCCUACAAUGGACCUAACCCCAAGUUUUGCCUUAGCAAAGAGGAGGUGUUAGUGUUUGCGCUAUCCAGUGCCUGUGCUCUGUUCCCAAAGUGUUCUGUAGCAGGGAGCGUAGAGUGCUAGUCUAUGUGUCAUUGGCUUGUCGGGGUGUCGCUGAAACAGGGCAAAGUUGAGAGUGCACUGUGGGGUGUUGUGAACCUUAACUCUUCGUUUCCCCUUCUAAGAACCGAGGGGACAGGAAUCCUUACCCAGCGAGGUCACGUUCUCAUAGUUCUCCUGCAUGACGUCUCCGUAGAGGGCUCUCUGAGCGGGGUCCAGCAGAGCCCACUCUUCCUUGGUGAAAAACACAGCCACCUCCUCGAAAGUCACCAGCCCCUGAAAGAGCAAGAGCCCUCCACUCUGCACCUGCUGCCCAGUGACAACCCCACCAUUCACAGGGGAGGAGGGCCAAUCACAUGGAAGCUCUGGGAGACAGGCAGGAUCCGUCCCGCUCCCCAUCAGAGCAGCCAGGAGGCAUCAGGGUGAGAGGAGAAAGAGAGAGAGCCCCUCACCCCUUCUAGCAGACAGAGAUGGCAGGGGUCUUCACAUUCAACACUCACCUACCAGCCAGAAGCUGAUACAGGAGAUGGAGCCCGCAGCAGG